AGUUUCCGCUUUCAGUGCCAAGCCCAUCUGGACGCUCACCGGAGAUGGCCUUCGCCGUCGCGCCGCCGGUAGCGCCGCCUCCACCUUCUCCCGCGGCGGCAUGGGGGAGGCGCCGCGCGAGGGCAACUCCUCCGCGGUUCGCGCUGGCGGCAUCUACCAGAGACGGCGACCCGGCCCCGCCGACGUUCGAGCGGCUGCGGGAGCAGCUCCUACAGCUCCACGCAGAAGCCGACCUCACCCAAUCCAAAGCAAAUAGCACGAGGGUAAGGCUUGUGCGGUUGACUGAGGCUGCUGAGAAUCUUAAGAAAAGAGCUGCGGUCAGCAUCCGAAUGGGCAAAGAGAAUGAGGCAGUGGAUUUACUUGUGCAAAAGAAGAAGCUGACCAAAGCUCUUGAAAGCAUAAAACAGCGCAUUGAGGUGCUUGAUAAGCUUUCCAUGAAAAUCAGUGAGGCAAUUUCAGUGAAGCAGAACAUGUUAAUUGAACAUGCAUUGCAUCCAGGGAUGUCUAAUGGCAAAGAAUCCAAUGACAACAUAAGAGUUUUCUCUAGUAAAGUUGGUGAUGAGGCUGAUGAGACUACUAGCUCUCCUGCGAAAUCAUCUGAAAAGGCAUUUGAUCUGCAACAUGUGGUGCAUUCAGGCAUGACUGGCCAGUUGGAGCAAAGUGAACUUCAGACGUCCGAUAGCUUCUCAUUUUCCAGUGAUCUUGAAUCACCAAACAGCAUAACUAACCAUUCUUCUUAUGAUGCUUUUCUAGACCAUAUUGGUUUUCAGCUGGAUUCAUUAGAAUGUGAAAUUGAACAAUAUAUCAGUUCCCAACUAGCAGAACAGGUGGACAUUCAGAAGCCAAUAAAUGCCAAGUGGCAAAAAUUGUCUGACGUAUUGAAGCUUGUAACUGAAACUAGAGAAAGGAUUGCAAAGAUUGUGGAUAAUACAGUAAAGGAGGCUGGAUCUGAGGACUGAGGUCAUAGCGAAGUAUAUAAAGCAAUGUAUUGAUGACAUCAAACCCUGUUUCUUUUAUUUGUAACAUGGUAUAUGGUUUCAUGGAAAAUUUGUGCAAUACCUUACAGAAGCAUCAUGGUCUAGGUCUGCAGCCAGUGGCUCAUUGUCCAUUUUCUUCUGGAGGAUCCAUUUUGUAGUUUUUCGGUUCCUUCUAUCCAUCCUUAGAUCUGUUAGGAACAGGAAGGCCUUGGCAACUGCCAAAGUGCUCACUAACAAACACACUGUUGCAGAGAGCCUUCCUGCUGGUGUUGAGAAGCCAUAAUCCCCAUAUCCAACUGUUGUCACAGAAAUGACUGAUAAAUAGAAGCUAUCAAUCCAAUUUAGACCCUCCACCUCAUGCACUAUGAUUGUACAAAUUGAGAUGGUGCCUACAACAACCCCUAACGCAAGUAGUACUUUCAUCCUCCCUCUUGAUCUUUUCUUUUCAGCAUCAAUCAUAUAGGUGUCAAAUACCCUAUUAAGCUUGUUAUCAUCCAUUGUGCUAAGUAAGACUGUUCUCUGCUUGUCAAGUACAUUUGUCAACAGCUCAUUUAGCACAAUGUCAACAAAGCGAACACCGAUUAGUAGAAACAAGCAUGUGAACACCUUUGUGAAGGUAGUGCAAGGGACUAUGUCACCGUAUCCUAUGGUGCACAAGCUUAUGAUGGUGAAGUAAAGGCCAUCAACUAACUUCAGUGUGGACCUCCCCUUGAAGCCUUCAACAUUUGUGAUGUAUACAAGGACUCCUAUUGAGAUGUACAAGAUGACGCUAACGAUAGCCUGCCUUGCAAAUGAUGGUACGUGUUGUGCAGCAUGGCUUUGCUCAUUGAACUCAUCUGCACAGGGAGUUUCUUUGAUUGAUGUGAACAUAGAAGGAGAAGAAUGCACCCGCUGGAAAUUUUGUGCGGUAACUAUAUUGCCAUUUCCGCUAGUAUGUAACGGAUGAUUGGGAGUAUUGGGGUUACCUUUGCUAUUUGUACUUGGGUGAAAGGAAGUCACGAACCUGUUUGGGACAUCGGAGGAUUUUCUUCUGUCUUGUCUUGAAGAGUAUACUUGAUCACGGUGGACUACAGGCAGCAGGUGCUCUUCCAUGGUAGACAUGUUAGAUCUUGGAUUCAUCAGCUCACAGCUUGCAGUUCUCAGGACUGUACUCAUCAAUUUAUAUCCAUGGCAGUUCUGCUGUGAUCUCGGUGAUGGAAUUGGUAACCACGAGAUGGUCGUCAAUCAAGGAUGUACACUUACCUGCUCUUUCUGGGUUGAAAGGAGUGUAUCAAAUCUCAAAACAUAUCUUUCUUAUUUAUUGCAACAUUUAUAUCACGUAGUUUCCAGUAUAUUGCAUAGUAGCUGAUACAAGAGGCAAUUGAUGAAAGGGAAGGAAAAGACGGAUAUCAAGAUUAACAAUGGCUUGUUAGCAUUCUGAUUUUGCAAGUUGGCCUUCCCUUCUCUGGGAUGAUCCAUUGACAUAAAGGCAAUGCCAUAUUCUCCAGGACUCUGUUCUACAACAGGGGUUGCCUUUUUCUGGAUGGGAACAUGUCAGUUUCUUGCGGCUAUGAGAUCUUAUUGCCGGUGAGGGAGGUAAAUGCUGCGCCGACGGAAAGGUUCUCAAGCUGGGGAUCCCUGUUUCCGUGUCAUCUAUGUAUCUUCGAGCUGUCUUUUUCUGACGGAUCUUGACUGGAGUAUCUUGUCCCUGAUGAUCAGUCUCUGCGUGACACUCUGAAGAAAAGGCUGUGCAGAUGAAAACUGUAAGACCUUGCCUAGAGGCUAGAAUAUAACCGAGCACUGGAGUAUUUUAGAGAACCGGGCAAGCAAGCAUUCUUCAGCCUUCCAGCUUCCUGGCAUAAAUGUUGAUGAAUUUGUCGCCAUGAAUAUCUAUUAGCCCCUAACAAACUUAUCUAGCUUGAUCAUCUAUCUCGUUGAUUAAGACACAGUUUCCACCUGGGGACCGUGUGAUCGACGGAGUCCUGAAAUUUGUUACUGAAGCAGUCAAGCAGAGGAUGUAAUACUGUGCUGUAACCAGAUCUUCACGUUGUUCGCUAGACCGGCAAACCGGCAUUACUACAUAUGGUCUGAUUGGAAUUUGAUCA